UACAGAGGUCUCAAGCGUUGUUCGGAUUCAUUGGGCGUAAAGGGCGCGUAGGCGGCGAGGUAAGUCGGGUGUGAAAUCUCAGAGCUCAACUCUGAAACUGCACUCGAUACUGCUUUGCUAGAGGACUGGAGAGGAGAUUGGAAUUCACGGUGUAGCAGUGAAAUGCGUAGAGAUCGUGAGGAAGACCAGUGGCGAAGGCGAAUCUCUGGACAGUUCCUGACGCUGAGGCGCGAAGGCCAGGGGAGCAAACGGG
rnacentral:rRNA from 1 species